rnacentral:lncRNA from 1 species
GCCCUGUCUGCAAUUUUGUAGUUCUGCUUUUGCUUGUCUAUCGAAACUACAGUAUCCGUGGGGUUUUGUUGCACUUUCUAAGGCUUCCAUUGGCUCUCUAAAGCCGCCAGAAAGUGGAUUGGGGCGUCACCUGUCUCUGGGCAAAGUAUAGGAGCACAGUUUGUCAGUGGACUGCCUGGUGACUCAAAGACUGGAGAUGCGCAGUCCCGAGACCUCGCCAUUUUUUCUUUCCCUCUUUGAAUGAGUACAACAUUGUCCUGUUGGAAUAUUAUCGCUAUUUUAUGAGAAAAAUAGGAUAAAAAUUGAUUUUAAACAGCGUUUGACAUGCUUCUAAGUACGGUAAUGGAACAUUUUGAAAUGUUUUGUGUCGAUAUGCACUCGCGCGUUACCCUUUGGAUAGUGACCUGAACGCACGAACAAAACGGAGAUAUUUGCACAUAACUAUGGAUUAUUUGGAACAAAAACAACACUUGUUGUGGAAGUAGCAGUCCUGGGUGUACAUUCUGACGAAGAACAGCAAAGCAUUUCCCCUGGACAGCCAUGAAGAUGAAAAUUGGCCAAUCAUCUCGAUAAGGAUAAUAAAAUCAGAACGGAUGCACAGAUGAUUAAAGAUAUUGUGACCCUGAAUAACAAUUGUGGGAAAUACUUUGUUAUCAAGAACAAUUGUGAGCAUAUUGCCACAACAAUUCGCUAUGGUGAGGCUGUCUGCUUGCAGCAAGGUUCCAAUCCACUUACUGAAACUGUGGCCAGAUUCUGCUGUGCCACCAAUAGAGUUGCCGAAACACUCAAGAAGAAACAGAAGAGGGGGCGUGGCAGAAGAGGUCUUGGUCUCCUACAUGAUGAAACCGGUGACAACCAGGGUGCACCAGCUGCUUGAGAUCUUAACCUCUCAGAUGUUCUCUCUCUCUUCCAUCCUCUCUGUCUCUGUAUCAAGUGAGGUCUAAACCUCUCAGAUGUUCUCUCUCUCUUCCAUCCUCUCUGUAUGACAUGAGGUCUAAACCUCUCAGAUGUUCUCUCUCUCUUCCAUCCUCUCUGUCUCUGUAUGAAGUGAGUUCUAAACCUCUCAGAUGUUCUCUCUCUCUUCCAUCCUCUCUGUCUCUGUAUGAAGUGAGGUCUAAACCUCUCAGAUGUUCUCUCUCUCUUCCAUCCUCUCUGUCUCUGUAUGAAGUGAAGUCUUCAUAAUAAUAAAACAUGAGCAAGAA